UCUUCCACCAGAACUCAAGCCUGCACCUUGAAAACUGCAAACGGCUAAGGGAAAAGUACCCAGAGUGGGAUGGAAAACUACCAGUGCUGGAAAGUCCUGCAGUCAAAAGUGCUAGCACCUCAGCUUCUGCCCGGCCUACCCAACAUCAUCGCCAAAAAACCAGUCGCUCUCGUUCCAGCUCAGACAGCCCCUCCCAAUGCAGCUCUCGCCAUAAAAAGGACAAAUCCAGCAGUCGCUCACGUUCCCGUUCAUACAGCCCUUACAGACGCAACUCAAGAAAAAGACCGAUAAAGUCCAGAAGUAGUUCCCGUUCCAGUUCAUACAGUCCUCGCCGUGGCAGGUCAAAAUAUAGAAGGAACAGAUCCAGCAGUAGUUCUCGUUCACGCUCACGCAGUCGCAGGUCCCGGCCACGGUCCUACUCACCAUGGCGCAACCGCUCUACUUCUUCCUGUUACGGCUCGCGUUCAAACAGCCACGAGAGACGUAAUUCACCAAAAAGAAAAUCUAA